ACCAGAAGACGUCAGAGCCAACCCGCAAGGGAGGUGGACGGCCAAGGUGAAGCCUCUGACUGGGGUGAAGUCGUAACAAGGUAGCCGUAGGUGAACCUGCAGAAGGAUCA
rnacentral:rRNA from 1 species